GAUGAACGCUGGCGGCGUGCCUAAUACAUGCAAGUCGAGCGAACGGACGAGAAGCUUGCUUCUCUGAUGUUAGCGGCGGACGGGUGAGUAACACGUGGAUAACCUACCUAUAAGACUGGGAUAACUUCGGGAAACCGUAGCUAAUACCGGAUAAUAUUUUGAACCGCAUGGUUCAAAAGUGAAAGACGGUCUUGCUGUCACUUAUAGAUGGAUCCGCGCUUCAUUAGCUAGUUGGUAAGGUAACGGCUUACCAAGGCAACGAUGCAUAGCCGACCUGAGAGGGUGAUCGGCCACACUGGAACUGAGACACGGUCCAGACUCCUACGGGAGGCAGCAGUAGGGAAUCUUCCGCAAUGGGCGAAAGCCUGACGGAGCAACGCCGCGUGAGUGAUGAAGGUCUUCGGACCGUAAAACUCUGUUAUUAGGGAAGAACAUAUGUGUAAGUAACUGUGCACAUCUUGACGGUACCUAAUCAGAAAGCCACGGCUAACUACGUG
rnacentral:rRNA from 1 species